UCGAGAAUCUUCGGCAAUGGGCGCAAGCCUGACCGAGCGACGCCGCGUGUGGGAUGAAGGCCUUCGGGUUGUAAACCGCUGUCAGGGGGGAUGAAACCGUAAGGUUGACAGAGCCCCAGAGGAAGCACGGGCUAAGUUCGUGCCAGCAGCCGCGGUAAUACGAACUGUGCGAACGUUACUCGGAAUCACUGGGCUUACAGGGUGCGUAGGUGGCUUGAUAAGCAGGGUGUGAAAUCCCUCGGCUCAACCGAGGAACUGCGCUCUGAACUGUCGAGCUAGAGUAUGCUAGAGGUGAAUGGAACAUCCAGUGGAGCGGUGAAAUGUGUUGAUAUUGGGAGGAACACCGGUGGCGAAAGCGGCUCACUGGACCGUUACUGACGCUGAGGUGCGAAAGCUAGGGGAGCAAACGGGAUUAGAUACCCCUGUAGUCCCUGAGCGGGCUGGCAAGGCGCAU
rnacentral:rRNA from 1 species